GGGUUGUGAGGUUAAGCGACUAAGCGUACACGGUGGAUGCCCUGGCAGUCAGAGGCGAUGAAGGACGUGCUAAUCUGCGAAAAGCGUCGGUAAGGUGAUAUGAACCGUUAUAACCGGCGAUGUCCGAAUGGGGAAACCCAGUGCAAUUCGUUGCACUAUCGUUAACUGAAUACAUAGGUUAACGAGGCGAACCGGGGGAACUGAAACAUCUAAGUACCCCGAGGAAAAGAAAUCAACCGAGAUUCCCCCAGUAGCGGCGAGCGAACGGGGAGCAGCCCAGAGUCUGAAUCAGCUUGUGUGUUAGUGGAACGGUCUGGAAAGUCCGACGGUACAGGGUGAUAGUCCCGUACACCAAAAUGCACAGGCUGUGAACUCGAAGAGUAGGGCGGGACACGUGGUAUCCUGUCUGAAUAUGGGGGGACCAUCCUCCAAGGCUAAAUACUCCUGACUGACCGAUAGUGAACCAGUACCGUGAGGGAAAGGCGAAAAGAACCCCGGCGAGGGGAGUGAAAAAGAACCUGAAACCGUGUACGUACAAGCAGUGGGAGCACCUUCGGGUGUGACUGCGUACCUUUUGUAUAAUGGGUCAGCGACUUAUAUUCUGUAGCAAGGUUAACCGUAUAGGGGAGCCGCAGGGAAACCGAGUCUUAACUGGGCGUUAAGUUGCAGGGUAUAGACCCGAAACCCGGUGAUCUAGCCAUGGGCAGGUUGAAGGUUGGGUAACACUAACUGGAGGACCGAACCGACUAAUGUUGAAAAAUUAGCGGAUGACUUGUGGCUGGGGGUGAAAGGCCAAUCAAACCGGGAGAUAGCUGGUUCUCCCCGAAAGCUAUUUAGGUAGCGCCUCGUGAACUCAUCUUCGGGGGUAGAGCACUGUUUCGGCUAGGGGGUCAUCCCGACUUACCAACCCGAUGCAAACUACGAAUACCGAAGAAUGUUAUCACGGGAGACACACGGCGGGUGCUAACGUCCGUCGUGAAGAGGGAAACAACCCAGACCGCCAGCUAAGGUCCCAAAGUCAUGGUUAAGUGGGAAACGAUGUGGGAAGGCACAGACAGCCAGGAUGUUGGCUUAGAAGCAGCCAUCAUUUAAAGAAAGCGUAAUAGCUCACUGGUCGAGUCGGCCUGCGCGGAAGAUGUAACGGGGCUAAACCAUGCACCGAAGCUGCGGCAGCGACACUAUGUGUUGUUGGGUAGGGGAGCGUUCUGUAAGCCUGCGAAGGUGACCUGUGAGGGUUGCUGGAGGUAUCAGAAGUGCGAAUGCUGACAUAAGUAACGAUAAAGCGGGUGAAAAGCCCGCUCGCCGGAAGACCAAGGGUUCCUGUCCAACGUUAAUCGGGGCAGGGUGAGUCGACCCCUAAGGCGAGGCCGAAAGGCGUAGUCGAUGGGAAACAGGUUAAUAUUCCUGUACUUGGUGUUACUGCGAAGGGGGGACGGAGAAGGCUAUGUUAGCCGGGCGACGGUUGUCCCGGUUUAAGCAUGUAGGCUGGUUGUCCAGGCAAAUCCGGAUAAUCAAGGCUGAGGUGUGAUGACGAGGCACUACGGUGCUGAAGUAACAAAUGCCCUGCUUCCAGGAAAAGCCUCUAAGCAUCAGGUAACAUUAAAUCGUACCCCAAACCGACACAGGUGGUCAGGUAGAGAAUACCAAGGCGCUUGAGAGAACUCGGGUGAAGGAACUAGGCAAAAUGGUGCCGUAACUUCGGGAGAAGGCACGCUGGUGUGUAGGUGAAGUCCCUGCGGAUGGAGCUGAGACCAGUCGAAGAUACCAGCUGGCUGCAACUGUUUAUUAAAAACACAGCACUGUGCAAACACGAAAGUGGACGUAUACGGUGUGACGCCUGCCCGGUGCCGGAAGGUUAAUUGAUGGGGUUAUCCGUAAGGAGAAGCUCUUGAUCGAAGCCCCGGUAAACGGCGGCCGUAACUAUAACGGUCCUAAGGUAGCGAAAUUCCUUGUCGGGUAAGUUCCGACCUGCACGAAUGGCGUAAUGAUGGCCAGGCUGUCUCCACCCGAGACUCAGUGAAAUUGAACUCGCUGUGAAGAUGCAGUGUACCCGCGGCAAGACGGAAAGACCCCGUGAACCUUUACUAUAGCUUGACACUGAACAUUGAGCCUUGAUGUGUAGGAUAGGUGGGAGGCUUUGAAGCGUGGACGCCAGUCUGCGUGGAGCCAACCUUGAAAUACCACCCUUUAAUGUUUGAUGUUCUAACGUUGGCCCCUUACCGGGGUUGCGGACAGUGUCUGGUGGGUAGUUUGACUGGGGCGGUCUCCUCCUAAAGCGUAACGGAGGAGCACGAAGGUUAGCUAAUCCUGGUCGGACAUCAGGAGGUUAGUGCAAUGGCAUAAGCUAGCUUGACUGCGAGCGUGACGGCGCGAGCAGGUGCGAAAGCAGGUCAUAGUGAUCCGGUGGUUCUGAAUGGAAGGGCCAUCGCUCAACGGAUAAAAGGUACUCCGGGGAUAACAGGCUGAUACCGCCCAAGAGUUCAUAUCGACGGCGGUGUUUGGCACCUCGAUGUCGGCUCAUCACAUCCUGGGGCUGAAGUAGGUCCCAAGGGUAUGGCUGUUCGCCAUUUAAAGUGGUACGCGAGCUGGGUUUAGAACGUCGUGAGACAGUUCGGUCCCUAUCUGCCGUGGGCGCUGGAGAAUUGAGGGGGGCUGCUCCUAGUACGAGAGGACCGGAGUGGACGCAUCACUGGUGUUCGGGUUGUCAUGCCAAUGGCACUGCCCGGUAGCUAAAUGCGGAAGAGAUAAGUGCUGAAAGCAUCUAAGCACGAAACUUGCCCCGAGAUGAGUUCUCCCUGAGACUUUAAGUCUCCUGAAGGAACGUU
rnacentral:rRNA from 1 species